rnacentral:tRNA from 1 species
GUUGGGGUAUUUUAAUAAAAAAGUAAAGCUUGCAUCUUUAAAUUGGGUGUUGUUCCCCCCCAGCU